rnacentral:rRNA from 1 species
UACGUAGGGGGCAAGCGUUAUCCGGAAUCAUUGGGCGUAAAGGGUGCGUAGGCGGCCCUGUGGGUCAGAGGUUAAAGGCUACGGCUCAACCGUAGUAAGCCUUUGAAACUGCAGGGCUUGAGUACAGGAGAGGAGAGUGGAAUUCCUAGUGUAGCGGUGAAAUGCGUAGAUAUUAGGAGGAACACCAGUGGCGAAGGCGACUCUCUGGACUGUAACUGACGCUGAGGCACGAAAGCGUGGGGAGCGAACAGG